UCGCUUGAGAUCCCUGAAACAACAAGUGUGCAUGUGUUAAGGUGUGAGGAUCUGGGCACAGAAUAAACCAGAUGUGAGAAACCUUUUUCAGCCUGAGGUCAGAACCCUCUGGAGGACGGAAGGUGGCUGUUCCCUCUCACAGGAUUUUCACACAUCUAUGUGGGUCAGUUGGGCACAGAAGAACAACUGUUCACCCCUGGCUGUGCUAUUCCUGCUGAAAUAAAGGCUACACGUUCACUUUG